UGAACAUUAAAAUAUUUAGACACAGAUUAAACAUAUGGAAAUGAGUAGUUACUGCUGGUAGAUAGUUGCUUACUGAUGAUACAUAGUGUUCUAAGAAGUUUACAAAUGAUUAUUUACAAUGUUAUUAGCAAGGAAGUAGAUAGCCAGAGAUAUAUCAUAUAGACGCUAUGAAUUGAAGAAUAUUAGAUAGACCCAUUGCCGCGCGUUUCAUCAGUAUUGACAACAACUUUCUUGUCCAGGCAACUCUUCAUAGUAGUUGCGAUUGGUGACUCACAUUGCCCAGAGCAGAAAUUCCUUCAAUAUGUAGUCGACUGGUGGAGCUCCGCGAUGAUCGGCUCUCCACCAUCACUACAGAAAAGCUUCGCCUCCCUUGGCAUACUCAUUAUAUGGAGCAUUUCGAAGCACCGCAACUCCAUGGUAUUUGAUACUGCUCGCCCCUCCAUGGAUCUGGUGAUCCAGAGCAUUCUCGAUGAGGCACGUUCUUGGGCCUUGGCCGGGGCUAGGGGAUUUGUGGUGAUCACCCAAUUUGAGCCACCAUAGGCGUGCACCUGUUUGUGUUUGAGCUGAGCACCCCGGCUUCUUCUGCUCAUUGUAGAUCCAUCCUCGCCCUCCGGUGUACGAGCUAUGUAUCUACCACCUUGUAACUCUUGUUCUCCUACCUAUCAAUGAAAUGAUACACAACUUGUGUAUUCACGAGAAAAAAGGACAGAGGCCACCCAAGUGAGAACAAUGACCAACACGAGGAAAUCCAUUUAAGCAGUGCCAAAGGCGGAAAAUAGUAGAGAUGGAAAAACAAUUUUGCAAGCAUCAAAGCAGUCCAUGGCCUCUGCCACACCGAUCAAGAAGCAAGAAAAACACUACAUUGAACUAUAGUUUUUGUUAGACCUCAUGUCCAGAACAGUGUGACCGUUUAUUGCAGUUCAAAAUUCUCAUUGAUCAUAGAGUGAAAUGAGCAUCUAUGAAUAAAGAGCGUGCAGUAAGAAAUGUGUGCACUGUACUGCCAAAUUUCUUGACUGACUCUACCAACCUCACAUACUUUCUCCUGCUAGCGAUGUCCGUGUUCCUACAAAGGGAAGCAAAACAUUCAACUAUUACCACUCCACUUCCAGUAUAUAUAUGGUACCAACAGCUUGGCAUAGAAUCUAAUGUUUUCCUGUGAGUUCAUGUAUCGGCCAUUGGGAGAAUAUUACAGGGUGGAGGCAGAAGGAGAAUAAUUAAAUAGCAAGACCGUACAUGAAAAUAAGCUGCAACAUGCAACUCAUGAAGUAAAAAAGAGAUCUUACUUCUCAAAUGUGCUUCAUAGCCAUCCAAAUACACUCUUUUUGUAAACUUAUACAUUGUUUAUCCCAAACCGUUUGGAACUCAUACAACAGCAGCACUAUUUCUGCAGAAAUUAUCAAAGCCAACAGUUUUAGCAUGUCUGCGUCUCACACUCGAGAUUUAUAUAUUUAUAUUCAUUACUGCUAGCAAACAAAGAAACUAUCGUACCUAAUAAAGCAAGGAUCAGGAAUGGUCUAUUAAACCAACAAACUGAACAGAUCUUUUAAAACCACUCCUAGAGAGCACGAGCAGCAGAGGUCAAAUAUAUUUCGAGCCCAAAGCACUCAACCUUAGCAUGCUAGCAUCAGAAACUAAUGUAGAGAAGAACAGCUGCCAUUAAAUGUUCUGCAAAUCUAGUAGAUCAUCAAUUGGACAGAUAUAAUGAGAAGACAUUUGUGACAAAGAGAAAGAAAGCUUUCGACGAACAGCAC
rnacentral:lncRNA from 1 species